GUAAAAAACCCAAUUACCAAAACAUUGACUCAAUUAGAAGAUUGCUAAGGCAAGUUGAAAUAGACCAUUGGCUCAAGUGUUGUUAUUGGGAAAGCCAGUUAAUAAAUGUUUGUACAAUUAUUCAUAAAAAAUAUUGAGUCAGGUGAUAAAUUGUUGUUGGGUGAACGCCAACAAUGGCUGAUAUUGACUCAACUAACAUACAGUAAUUGAGUGAAUGGAUUGGACAAGUUGUGCAUUUGUUGACUGAACAAAUGUGGGCGGCGUCAUUUACGGUAAUGAACUUCGAGCAAAGGAAGUACGGCAAAGCCACAAAGUUUGUCGACACGGCCUCACGGAGGGACGAGGAGUGACAGAUGAAAGGAGGUCGUUGCUGAAGAUGUGCAUGUCUCCACAAUCAGCCAGAGAUGGCCAGCCCUAUUCUUGUUGGAUCAGGUACAUGCAGAAUUCAAAAGAGUAACAGGAAAAGAAUUGAUGGAAACGUUCUUCCCCUCCUUGGAUGAGCACACCAGAGCUCCGCACCGCAGCUCACCACCCCACUCAAGUGACACUAAGGAGUCUGUUGGAGUACCUAGACGAGCAGACCACAGAGAUCGUUAAACAUCGGAGGGUGGUGGCUGUCAAAGGGCUGCAGUAUUACCUGGGGGAGAAAACCGAGCUUUUCAACACCU